rnacentral:rRNA from 1 species
AACGCUAGCUACAGGCUUAACACAUGCAAGUCGAGGGGCAGCAUGAUUGAAGCUUGCUUCAAUUGAUGGCGACCGGCGCACGGGUGAGUAACGCGUAUCCAACCUUCCGCUUACUUUGGGAUAGCCUUUCGAAAGAAAGAUUAAUACCGGAUGGUUUAUGUUUUCUGCAUGGAAAAUAUAAUAAAGAUUAAUCGGUAAGCGAUGGGGAUGCGUUCCAUUAGAUAGUAGGCGGGGUAACGGCCCACCUAGUCGACGAUGGAUAGGGGUUCUGAGAGGAAGGUCCCCCACAUUGGAACUGAGACACGGUCCAAACUCCUACGGGAGGCAGCAGUGAGGAAUAUUGGUCAAUGGGCGAGAGCCUGAACCAGCCAAGUAGCGUGAAGGAUUACAGCCCUAUGGGUUUUAAACUUCUUUUAUAAGGGAAUAAAAAGUGUUACGUGUAGCGAAUUGUAUGUACCUUAUGAAUAAGCAUCGGCUAACUCCGUGCCAGCAGCCGCGGUAAUACGGAGGAUGCGAGCGUUAUCCGGAUUUAUUGGGUUUAAAGGGUGCGUAGGCCGGAGAGUAAGUCAGCGGUGAAAAGUUGCAGCUCAACUGUAACCGUGCCGUUGAAACUGCUUUUCUUGAGUGCGGACAAGGCAGGCGGAACUCGUGGUGUAGCGGUGAAAUGCUUAGAUAUCACGAAGAACUCCGAUUG